rnacentral:rRNA from 1 species
AGAGUUUGAUCCUGGCUCAGAUUGAACGCUGGCGGCAUGCCUUACACAUGCAAGUCGAACGGCAGCACGGGGGCAACCCUGGUGGCGAGUGGCGAACGGGUGAGUAACAUAUCAGAACGUGCCCUGGAGUGGGGGAUAACUAGUCGAAAGACUAGCUAAUACCGCAUACGAUCUACGGAUGAAAGUGGGGGAUCGCAAGACCUCAUGCUCGUGGGGCGGCCGAUAUCUGAUUAGCUAGUUGGUGGGGUAAAGGCCUACCAAGGCAUCGAUCAGUAGCUGGUCUGAGAGGACGACCAGCCACACUGGGACUGAGACACGGCCCAGACUCCUACGGGAGGCAGCAGUGGGGAAUUUUGGACAAUGGGCGCAAGCCUGAUCCAGCAGUGCCGCGUGAGUGAAGAAGGCCUUCGGGUUGUAAAGCUCUUUUGUCAGGGAAGAAACGGUGAGGGCUAAUAUCCCUUGCUAAUGACGGUACCUGAAGAAUAAGCACCGGCUAACUACGUGCCAGCAGCCGCGGUAAUACGUAGGGUGCAAGCGUUAAUCGGAAUUACUGGGCGUAAAGCGUGCGCAGGCGGUUGUGCAAGACCGAUGUGAAAUCCCCGGGCUUAACCUGGGAAUGGCAUUGGUGACUGCACGGCUAGAGUGUGUCAGAGGGGGGUAGAAUUCCACGUGUAGCAGUGAAUGCGUAGAGAUGUGGAGGAAUACGAUGGCGAAGCAGCCCCCUGGGAUAACACUGACGCUCAUGCACGAAAGCGUGGGGAGCAAACAGGAUUAGAUACCCUGGUAGUCCACGCCCUAAACGAUGUCAACUAGUUGUCGGGUCUUAAUUGACUUGGUAACGCAGCUAACGCGUGAAGUUGACCGCCUGGGGAGUACGGUCGCAAGAUUAAAACUCAAAGGAAUUGACGGGACCCGCACAAGCGGUGGAUGAUGUGGAUUAAUUCGAUGCAACGCGAAAAACCUUACCUACCCUUGACAUGGCAGGAAUCCCCGAGAGAUCGGGGAGUGCUCGAAAGAGAACCUGCACACAGGUGCUGCAUGGCUGUCGUCAGCUCGUGUCGUGAGAUGUUGGGUUAAGUCCCGCAACGAGCGCAACCCUUGUCAUUAGUUGCUACAUUCAGUUGAGCACUCUAAUGAGACUGCCGGUGACAAACCGGAGGAAGGUGGGGAUGACGUCAAGUCCUCAUGGCCCUUAUGGGUAGGGCUUCACACGUCAUACAAUGGUACAUACAGAGGGCCGCCAACCCGCGAGGGGGAGCUAAUCCCAGAAAGUGUAUCGUAGUCCGGAUUGCAGUCUGCAACUCGACUGCAUGAAGUUGGAAUCGCUAGUAAUCGCGGAUCAGCAUGUCGCGGUGAAUACGUUCCCGGGUCUUGUACACACCGCCCGUCACACCAUGGGAGCGGGUUUUACCAGAAGUAGGUAGCUUAACCGCAAGGAGGGCGCUUACCACGGUAGGAUUCGUGACUGGGGUGAAGUCGUAACAAGGUAACCGUA